rnacentral:rRNA from 1 species
UACGUAGGUGGCAAGCGUUGUCCGGAUUUACUGGGCGUAAAGCGCGUUCAGGCGGUCUGGCAAGUCGGGCAUGAAAUCUCUCGGCUCAACCGGGAGGGGUUGUCCGAUACUGCUGGACUUGAGGGCAGGAGAGGGUGGUGGAAUUCCGGGUGUAGUGGUGAAAUGCGUAGAGAUCCGGAGGAACACCAGUGGCGAAGGCGGCCACCUGGCCUGCACCUGACGCUGAAACGCGAAAGCUAGGGGAGCGAACGGG